CAGUAGCCGCGGUAAUACGGAGGGUGCAAGCGUUAAUCGGAAUUACUGGGCGUAAAGCGUGCGUAGGCGGUUCGUUAAGUCUGAUGUGAAAGCCCCCGGCUCAACCGGGGAGGGUCAUUGGAAACUGGGAAACUUGAGUGCAGAAAAGGUGAGUGGAAUUCCACGUGUAGCGGUGGAAUGCGUAGAGACGUGGAGGAACACCAGUGGCGAAGGCGACUCUCUGGUCUGUAACUGACGCUGAGGAGCGAAAGCGUGGGGAGCGAACAGGAUUAGAUACCCCAGUAGUCCCUGUCUCUUAUAC
rnacentral:rRNA from 1 species